GUGCUCACUUUGGCAGCACAUUUACUAAAACUGGAAUGAUAAGAAAAGAUUAGCAUGGCCCUUGCGCAAGGAUGAUACACAGUUCAUGAAGAAAGCAGCAGAAGAAG